UCCUACGGGGGGCAGCAGUAGGGAAUUUUCGUCAAUGGGCGCAAGCCUGAACGAGCAAUGCCGCGUGAACGAGGAAGGUCUUCGGAUCGUAAAGUUCUGUUGAAGGGGAAAAAGAGCGGAGAGAGGAAAUGGUCUCCGAUUGAUAUUACCCUUCGAGGAAGUCACGGCUAGCUACGUGCCAGCAGCCGCGGUAAUACGUAGGUGGCGAGCGUUAUCCGGAAUGAUUGGGCGUAAAGGGUGCGUAGGCGGCCUGCUAAGUCUGGAGUGAAAGGUACCGGCUCAACCGGUACAGGCUCUGGAAACUG
rnacentral:rRNA from 1 species